ACUCAAAGUGCUUAAAAUACUUCAGUGACAGGCAACAAAGAAAUGCCUGUUACCAUAAUUGCUUGAAUUAAGUAAAGAGCCAGAAAAUCUUGAGAACUUUUUAAAAAGUAGAGGUUUGAUGUGUGGGGAGUGUAAGAACAAAAUUCUCUUGGGCCAUGGCCGGAGCCCUGAAUCAGCAGAAGUCUUUUCCUUGAAGAAAGUGAAAAGUAGAGGAGGUGCUGGCAGCUGUAAUAUGGCAGCUCUGAAAACCUGAAAGUGAAACUCAUUCCAGUAACAUGAGACUGAUGCUAAUGACUUUCCAUUAGCUAAGCUGAGAGAAACAAUCAAAAAAGGCUGAGUGAAGAACUCGCAUUUGAGCACACACCCAGGAGAGCCAGCAGAAAGCACUGGUGUGUGCCUUACGUCCACAAGUGACU